AGAGAGAGAGAGAGAGAGAGAGAGAGAAAGAUACAAACCUUUCCCCUCUCUAAUUAGUGGCGAGAGGGAUAAUGUUCAAGUGUGUCGCCGAGAAGGCCGCGGAGGUUGCACGGAGCAAGACGAAACUCACCGAGGAGAGCAAGAACGCGUGACAGGUAAAACAUAACCUCAAUUUACCCGCGGGGGUAAAAACCGCGUAGGUGAGGCUGAGUGUUUCUCAACCCACGCCAACUCUCUUCGUCGAAAUUUCUCUUUUCUCUACGGUAGCUCGUUUUCGUUCGCGCCACGGCUAUAACGGCGAGCGUCGUCGUCCGCGGAUAGACUCGUUCUUUCGAACGACGGGCGGCGCAAACGAGCCAUGCAACGUUACCCUCGGCGAUUUAAAAGCUAUAUCACGCGAAAUUACAUACUUUCGAUCGCACGCGUGACUUGUUUUAUAGCUUGCGACGGGGAAAAGCGUUGGAAAGUUGUUCGGUUAACGUCGGAUGGCGCUGGUCACUGAGACGUAGAUUUUUUUUUCUUUCUUUUCCCCCCGUUUGAUUUUCCAAUAAUCGAGGCUUCAUGCGACCUUCUCGCUGCGCGUUUGUCCUUGUCGCGACCUGGCGCUUCCGUUUGCUAGUCCGAGCGUGUUUUCUCGCUUGUCCACCACGCCUUGAAAAUCUUCGCUCUUUCGACUUUGCUCGGCCAAUGCAAAUCUAUUACCGCCGUGCGCGAACUUCACACUCCUCGCGUCAGCGUUUCUCUCACUUUUCAAA